UGGGGAAUAUUGGACAAUGGGGGCAACCCUGAUCCAGCGAUGCCACGUGUGCGAAGAAGGCCUUAGGGUUGUAAAGCACUUUAGUGAGGGAGGAAAGUGAGCUGGUUAAUACCCAGUUUAAUUGACAGUACCUCAAGAAUAAGCACCGGCAAACUCUGUGCCAGCAGCCGCGGUAAUACAGAGGGUGCAAGCGUUAAUCGGAAUUAUUGGGCGUAAAGGGCUUGUAGGCGGUUAGAUAAGUUAGAUGUGAAAACCCUGGGCUCAACCUGGGGCUGGCAUUUAAUACUGUUUAGCUAGAGUAUAGGAGAGGAGAAGGGAAUUUCUGGUGUAGCGGUGAAAUGCGUAGAUAUCAGAAGGAACAUCAGUGGCGAAGGCGCUUCUCUGGCCUAAUACUGACGCUGAGGAGCGAAGGCGUGGGGAUCAAACAGG
rnacentral:rRNA from 1 species